UGUAUUGGGAGGAGUGACUUUGGGAAUAAUAACGAUGAGGGGUGACCUGGGAUGGAGGAGUUCAGAGACAAGCUUAUCAUGGAAAGUGCAGGGGAUAAGACCAUAUCUAGGGUGUCGGCUUUAUCUUCUUUAGUGCCCUGACGCACAAUAUUUAUGCUAGCCUUACAGUACCUGUCUCAUCGCUGGGGGGGGGGGGGGGGGGGGUAUUGUAUGUUGGGAUACAUCUGAAAGGGUAUAUUUUUGUCUAGUCAGCUUUCGCUAUUGUAACAUGGAUGUCAAUUAUGGUAAAAGCCUUGAUCAUUUUCUGAGUACCAGAUUUGACUGUACAUGCAUAUCCCUUUCUUUUUUGUUCUUUUCUGUAGCUUGAAAACUUGUUU